rnacentral:rRNA from 1 species
CAAUAGCGUAUAUUAAAGCUGUUGCGGUUAAAAAGCUCGUAGUUGGAUUUCUGUCAAGGACAACUGGUCCGCCCUCCGGGUGAGCACAUAGUUUGGUCUUGACAUCUUGCUGGAAGCUGUUGCUGCACUUGGCUGUGUGGCGCAGUGUUCAGCACUUUCACUUUGAGGAAAUUGGAGUGUUUCAAGCAGGCACAUGCCUUUGGACACAGUAGCAUGGAAUAAUUAGAUUGGGCUUUUGCUCCAAUUUGUCGGUUUCUGGAGCUGAGGUGAGUAUUAAUGGGGAUUGUUGGGGGCAUCCGAAUUUAGCCGUCAGAGGUGAAAUUCUUGGAUCUGCUAAAGACGGACAACUGCGAAAGCGUUUGCCAGGAUGUUUUCAUUGA